rnacentral:rRNA from 1 species
UACGUAGGGGGCAAGCGUUGUCCGGAAUCAUUGGGCGUAAAGAGCGUGUAGCGGCUUGGUAAGUCCGCUGUGAAAGUCCAGGGCUCAACCCUGGAAUGCCGGUGGAAACUGUCAAGCUUGAGUCCGGAAGAGGCGAGUGGAAUUCCUGGUGUAGCGGUGAAAUGCGCAGAUAUCAGGAGGAACACCGAUGGCGAAGGCAGGUCUCUGGGCCGAUACUGACGCUGAGGAGCGAAAGCGUGGGGAGCGAACAGGA